AUGUCAAACGUCGGUUUUUUUUUGUUUGUAUUGGAUCAAUUUGCGCAAGAAUAUCAACUUUGCUGGCUUUUCAUUAAAUAAAUAUAAAAAAUGCAAGCUCAAAUCAAGUGAAUGAGACAAAAAAACUUUGGCCGUUGAAUCGAUGGUUUCCGUGUAAACAAAAAUAGACGAAAAAUGGUAGAAAAUGUCAAUAAUAGAAAAUUUACUUUGUCGCAAAAUCUGAAGUGCCGUCAAGCUUGCAAAAACAACAAAAUAAUCCAGCACAAAAAGAAAUUUUUACACAAAAAUCGUUUUGGAACGUUUCGGACGACAAUUCACUCACAGGUGACUCCCGUUGCGUGAUUUGUCGUGCCGGGGAGACGAUCGAGAUGAGUUUGGACCACAAGCCAGAAAGAAGAUCAAAUUGAGUUUGAUCGCAUCAAGAAAGCCGGAGGACGAGUUACUGUUGACGGUCGUGUAAAUGGGGGACUUAAUUUAUCGAGAGCUAUUGGCGAUCAUGGAUACAAAACAAACAAAGAUCUACCGCCCGAGGAACAAAUGAUUUCAGCCCUUCCCAACGUGCGAAAACUCACACUGACACCCCAAGAUGAGUUUAUGGUCUUAGCUUGCGACGGCAUUUGGAACUUUAUGACUUCGGAAGACGUGGUGCGGUUUGUCCGAACUAAACUUGCGGAAAAUCCUCAAAUUAAAUUGACAAAAAUAUGCCGAAGAGCUUUUCGCAUUUUGCUUGGCGCAUAAUACGAUGGGCGAUGCCACCGGAUGCGACAACAUGACUGCAAUUAUUGUAAAAUUCAACAAAAACGUUCCAGUAGCGAGCUGCGGUGCCUUGACGACGGCAAAAAAUGCCACAUGCAAUGAUAAAUCGACAGCACAGAGUGCAUCAAAAUGUUUGAAACUCAAAAGUGAGACGUCCUUUUUGAGAUACAAACAAAAAAAUAUAAAAGCAAAUUUUUUCAUAAAUUAAUUGAAAAUUUGUAGCACAAAAAAAAAAUUAUCAUAUUUUAAAAAGUUUUAACCUUUUAUUCAGUGUUUGUCUGUUUAGUGAAUUCUUUGUAAAACACCGUUUACGUCAUUCAAGACAAAGAAAAACAUACAUACAAGAAAAUAGCACGAAAAUGUUCUGUUGAGGUAAUAGCAAGAAAGUACUUACAGCUUUUUCUAUUGCUUUUAGACAAAAUUGUUCGUGGUCAUUAUAAUUAAAUGUCAAAUUUAAUAAUUAAAUGUAAAAAUUUUUCAAAAAACAAUACAAACAAUUUUUAUUUCAUACAAAUUCUAA